rnacentral:rRNA from 1 species
AGGGUGACAGCCCCGUACACAAAAAUGCACAUGCUGUGAGCUCGAUGAGUAGGGCGGGACACGUGGUAUCCUGUCUGAAUAUGGGGGGACCAUCCUCCAAGGCUAAAUACUCCUGACUGACCGAUAGUGAACCAGUACCGUGAGGGAAAGGCGAAAAGAACCCCGGCGAGGGGAGUGAAAAAGAACCUGAAACCGUGUACGUACAAGCAGUGGGAGCCUCUUAAUGGGGUGACUGCGUACCUUUUGUAUAAUGGGUCAGCGACUUAUAUUCUGUAGCAAGGUUAACCGAAUAGGGGAGCCGAAGGGAAACCGAGUCUUAACUGGGCGUUAAGUUGCAGGGUAUAGACCCGAAACCCGGUGAUCUAGCCAUGGGCAGGUUGAAGGUUGGGUAACACUAACUGGAGGACCGAACCGACUAAUGUUGAAAAAUUAGCGGAUGACUUGUGGCUGGGGGUGAAAGGCCAAUCAAACCGGGAGAUAGCUGGUUCUCCCCGAAAGCUAUUUAGGUAGCGCCUCGUGAAUUCAUCUCCGGGGGUAGAGCACUGUUUCGGCAAGGGGGUCAUCCCGACUUACCAACCCGAUGCAAACUGCGAAUACCGGAGAAUGUUAUCACGGGAGACACACGGCGGGUGCUAACGUCCGUCGUGAAGAGGGAAACAACCCAGACCGCCAGCUAAGGUCCCAAAGUCAUGGUUAAGUGGGAAACGAUGUGGGAAGGCCCAGACAGCCAGGAUGUUGGCUUAGAAGCAGCCAUCAUUUAAAGAAAGCGUAAUAGCUCACUGGUCGAGUCGGCCUGCGCGGAAGAUGUAACGGGGCUAAACCAUGCACCGAAGCUGCGGCAGCGACGCUUAUGCGUUGUUGGGUAGGGGAGCGUUCUGUAAGCCUGUGAAGGUGUGCUGUGAGGCAUGCUGGAGGUAUCAGAAGUGCGAAUGCUGACAUAAGUAACGAUAAAGCGGGUGAAAAGCCCGCUCGCCGGAAGACCAAGGGUUCCUGUCCAACGUUAAUCGGGGCAGGGUGAGUCGACCCCUAAGGCGAGGCCGAAAGGCGUAGUCGAUGGGAAACAGGUUAAUAUUCCUGUACUUGGUGUUACUGCGAAGGGGGGACGGAGAAGGCUAUGUUGGCCGGGCGACGGUUGUCCCGGUUUAAGCGUGUAGGCUGGUUUUCCAGGCAAAUCCGGAAAACCAAGGCUGAGGCGUGAUGACGAGGCACUACGGUGCUGAAGCGACAAAUGCCCUGCUUCCAGGAAAAGCCUCUAAGCAUCAGGUAACAUCAAAUCGUACCCCAAACCGACACAGGUGGUCAGGUAGAGAAUACCAAGGCGCUUGAGAGAACUCGGGUGAAGGAACUAGGCAAAAUGGUGCCGUAACUUCGGGAGAAGGCACGCUGAUAUGUAGGUGAAGCGACUUGCUCGUGGAGCUGAAAUCAGUCGAAGAUACCAGCUGGCUGCAACUGUUUAUUAAAAACACAGCACUGUGCAAACACGAAAGUGGACGUAUACGGUGUGACGCCUGCCCGGUGCCGGAAGGUUAAUUGAUGGGGUUAGCGGCAACGCGAAGCUCUUGAUCGAAGCCCCGGUAAACGGCGGCCGUAACUAUAACGGUCCUAAGGUAGCGAAAUUCCUUGUCGGGUAAGUUCCGACCUGCACGAAUGGCGUAAUGAUGGCCAGGCUGUCUCCACCCGAGACUCAGUGAAAUUGAACUCGCUGUGAAGAUGCAGUGUACCCGCGGCAAGACGGAAAGACCCCGUGAACCUUUACUAUAGCUUGACACUGAACAUUGAGCCUUGAUGUGUAGGAUAGGUGGGAGGCUUUGAAGUGUGGACGCCAGUCUGCAUGGAGCCGACCUUGAAAUACCACCCUUUAAUGUUUGAUGUUCUAACGUUGGCCCCUAAUCGGGGUUGCGGACAGUGUCUGGUGGGUAGUUUGACUGGGGCGGUCUCCUCCUAAAGAGUAACGGAGGAGCACGAAGGUUGGCUAAUCCUGGUCGGACAUCAGGAGGUUAGUGCAAUGGCAUAAGCCAGCUUGACUGCGAGCGUGACGGCGCGAGCAGGUGCGAAAGCAGGUCAUAGUGAUCCGGUGGUUCUGAAUGGAAGGGCCAUCGCUCAACGGAUAAAAGGUACUCCGGGGAUAACAGGCUGAUACCGCCCAAGAGUUCAUAUCGACGGCGGUGUUUGGCACCUCGAUGUCGGCUCAUCACAUCCUGGGGCUGAAGUAGGUCCCAAGGGUAUGGCUGUUCGCCAUUUAAAGUGGUACGCGAGCUGGGUUUAGAACGUCGUGAGACAGUUCGGUCCCUAUCUGCCGUGGGCGCUGGAGAACUGAGGGGGGCUGCUCCUAGUACGAGAGGACCGGAGUGGACGCAUCACUGGUGUUCGGGUUGUCAUGCCAAUGGCACUGCCCGGUAGCUAAAUGCGGAAGAGAUAAGUGCUGAAAGCAUCUAAGCACGAAACUUGCCCCGAGAUGAGUUCUCCCUGAGACUUAGAGUCUCCUGAAGGAACGUUGAAGACGACGACG